AGGAGGAGGAAGAGAAGGAGAGCAGCUCCCAGGCCAGGGGUGGCAGCCGCAAAGCCAGAGGCCAGAAUCCGCAGCCCAGGGAGCACUGGAGCGCUGCUGUGCAGGGCAGAGUCCCGGAGCCCUGCUGCUUCAGAUGAAUUCACCACAAAACACUUUUAUUGGAGGAGUUCUGAAUGAGUAGUUCCCUCAAGUCAUUGAUUUAGAGAAAUGAGGCAAAAGGAGAAGACACAGCAUCCGGGCACAAGGAGAGGGCAAGCAAGUCAAGGCCAUGCUCCUGCCAUAUUGAAGAAACAGGAGGCACAACCCAAACUACAAGCAAAGGAUGGGUUGUCAUGGACUGAGCAACAGCCAUGCUGGGCAGGGCUUCUUUGGACAUGAACUUCUCUCACCUCACCGUGUCUACUUCCCAGCAUCCACAUGCAUUGGCCUCCACGCUAACCCCACGUGGCCUAGUCUCCCAUCCCUGGCCUCAACCUCUGAUGUCAACCUGGACCUGCUCCAGCCCUGACAGAGCCAGUGUCUUCUUAGAUUCUGAAGAACCAGAUGAAUCCAGAA